GAGUUUCCAUGUGGAAACAGUUUUCAAAAGGUUUCGAAUGGUUUUCAUGUAUGAAUGAAUUAGAUUUUAAAAAUAAAGCUUCCGUGUGGGGAGCACUUUUAAAUAGGAUGAUUGUUGUACUGUGCAUUGCAUCAUCCAGCGCCUAAGGAGUGCUUAGAGGCAUGCAUCAUCUCUAAGGAUUAUUAGCUGUAUGAAAAUGCAUAUCAUGAAUUGGUUGUUGAUUGGUAAUUGUAGAUUGUAGUUGAGAUCCUGUUGUAUCGUUGGUACGCCGUGCAAAUACAAAGGAGA
rnacentral:lncRNA from 1 species